AUACGGAGGGUGCAAGCGUUAAUCGGAAUUACUGGGCGUAAAGCGUACGUAGGCGGUUAUUUAAGUCAGAUGUGAAAGCCCCGGGCUUAACUUGGGAACUGCAUUUGAAACUGGGUAACUAGAGUUUAGUAGAGGGGAGUGGAAUUUCAGGUGUAGCGGUGAAAUGCGUAGAGAUCUGAAGGAACACCAGUGGCGAAGGCGACUCCCUGGACUAGAACUGACGCUGAGGUACGAAAGCGUGGGUAGCAAACGGGAUUAGAAACCCCUGUAGUCC
rnacentral:rRNA from 1 species